GCCCGGUUGGUCUAGUGGUAUGAUUCUCGCUUAGGGAUUUGAACCCUGAGUCAAUUUGCGAGAGGUCCCGCGUUCAAUCCGCGGAUCGGGCC